rnacentral:rRNA from 1 species
UACGAAGGGGCUAGCGUUGUUCGGAAUUACUGGGCGUAAAGGGCGCGUAGGCGGCCGAUUAAGUUGAGAUGUGAAAGUCCUGGGCUCAACCUGGGGACUGCAUUUAAUACUGGUUGGCUUGAAUUCGGGAGAGGAUAGCGGAAUUCCCAGUGUAGAGGUGAAAUUCGUAGAUAUUGGGAAGAACACCGGUGGCGAAGGCGGCUAUCUGGACCGACAUUGACGCUGAGGCGCGAAAGCGUGGGGAGCAAACAGGG